CUAACCUAAUGGCUGGAACAGAAGAGAGAUUGGGGAACCUGCUAGCGCAGAGAAUCAAUGCGCCAAAGCUGUGGCGAUCUCACUCCAAAUCUUGUUCACCUUCGCAAUCUCACUCUCAAUCUCACUCGCGCUCUUGAUCUCGAUCUCGAUUGUGCUUUCAAUCUGGCUCGCACUUCGCUCUUUGAAUCUCUCUCGUUUCAACAAACUCUAUUUUUAUCUCUCGAUCAUUUCUAGGGUUUGCUACUCUCUGUUUUGAGAUCUGUUGGCUAUGAAUUGACUGAAUUCCUAAUGUUAAGAUCUUCUCAAUUCAAACCCGAGAGUCUCGAGCAGGACACUGAUGAUUCCAGAAUUGCUUCUCCAGCUGCUAAGCAGGGUCACAGAGAUAUAGUUGUGGGACUAACUCCAAGGGCCUAAUGUGAUAGAUGAAGCUUUUCUAAAGUCUUAAUUUGCAGGUUCUAAGCUAUGAGUAUCAUAUUCUAAGACUAAGUUUCGACAAAACAGAAGAGCAUUGAGUGUGAUCAAUCAGAAUCUAGUGCAAGCUAAGGUCAACCUAAUCCUUGUGUUGUUACCAAUAGGCCUUUGCCAUUAUCAACUAAUCUUAUUUUACUUUACUUUUUAUUUUGGAUAGAAAUAUUAAUUCUAUAUGACUUAUAAGCUAAUUAUGUUAAAAUCUUAAAUGCCUUCAACUAGGUGAAUAUAUUUAUGAUUAGAUUUUAUAUUGACGUUGUGUCAAAUGUUAAAUUUUUAGUUUUAAGUGAUUUUCCAUAUUCCACUUGUUAAGUAAAAUACUGUCCCAAUUUUAAACACUGUUUUGUGUGAAUUUGCUGUGUUUGAUUUUAUUCCUUUUUCUGUGUUCUAGAACUUGACUUUAUUACUUUGUUUUUCUUGAUUGCUUAUUGUUGUUGUUUCGCAUGAGGUGUUUAAAAGGGCUAUAAUGCAGCCUGGGCCACCUGAGCAUUUUGUUAUUUUAAAAGUGCCAAAGGAUAACAAUAAAGCCUUGAAGCUCGGAGUCGGAAUAGGUUUAGAAAUUGCUACAUGGGAAGAUCGUUAUGAUGACACGAACUUGUAGGCAAGGAUAAUCCGGUGAAGCAAGUGAAUUGUGAAUUUUGUGCACUGCUGCUGUUGUUACUGUAUUUCGGUUUAAGACAUAAGAUGUUUGGUUUAUCUAGAGCUAACUUAGAGUACCUGUUUUGAGGAUUCAGUCAGAUAUAAAGAUAGAAGUUACAUGGGGAAAUGUUGAAGAGGAGAGAGUGGUCAGAGAUAGAAAAGCUUUCCUGCUGCACAGUCGAUCGAUUUGUUGAUACCUCGAUAUUCAUGGCCAUCAAGGCAAUACAGCAUGUCAUGGAAUCCAAUAUAAAGAAUGAAUCAAAUUCUCCAAGUUCAAUUCUGCAUGAAGAGCGCGUAGGAGACUUGUCAGUUGUUGUCAAAUGCGAUAUUCGCAAUGGAAAUAGAGUUUAAAUGCUAUAAGUAUUUUUUUCCUCAUUUUAUUUGCAUUACGAAGCAAACUUAUACAAUGAUUAUUGAUUAAUA